rnacentral:tRNA from 5 species
GGAGAGAUGGCAGAGUGGUCGAUUGCGGCGGUCUUGAAAACCGUUGAACCGAGAGGUUCCUGGGGUUCGAAUCCCUAUCUCUCCG